rnacentral:tRNA from 1 species
CAAAGUGUAGCUUAAAUCAAAGCACCCAGCUUACACCCGGGAGAUAUCAGACUAACAGAUCACUUUGAA